AAUACAAAAUACAAGCAAAGGAUACACAUACUUAAAACAGAGCUCAGGAGCAGACACGCAGUCCUGGAAACCCUUCAAUAAAAGCAAAGCAGGAGUUUGUUUUUUCUUUGUCUAUGCAGAUACAUACAGAGACUGGGAUAUGUAAAAAUUAAGUAUCACAAAAGACCAUCACACGAUUCUACCAAUGCAUGUUGCAUCUGUAAUUCACGAACAUGGUCAACAAAAUCAUGUUCACUUCAACCCCAUUUCAUUUAAAUUAAAGAAAAAAACCUUUUAAAUAAAGUGGUUACAUUCAAACUUUAACUUCCUUAGUACCAUGCUGCAGAUUUCAGCACUGUUAAGGUAUUGCAAGAAUGCCCAACCCUCUGGUGUCUGAUCAUGUAUCUAGCAACAUUGCAGUAUGAAGAAAAGAGAUGCCCCGGUCUCAGCCCAUGGACUAGUUAAUACAGUGAAGCAGGUUCCUGUCUUUUACCCUUCCUGCUCAGAACAUAAAAGAUUAAGGACUAAAAUCAAGGAAGACUGGGAGUUUUAGAGCUGGCAAAAUGAAGUCUAAAAGAUAAAUCAAGGCAAACAAUUACUGAGAACUUGGCUGUUGCUUAACCUGGCAAGUCUAAAAGCCUUUCUUUAACCUUGUAGGAAUUAGAUGCAUAAGGUUUGCUGCAACAUGUUCAUGGUAAACAAACUAAGUAGAGCUCUUAUUUACAAAUCUUGUAACAAAUACUUCUGGAGGAAAAAGAGAAAAGAAUUCACUAAGUUCCAGAAGACAAAGCUUUAAUUGCCAGAUGUAUACAAACACACACUCACACGUACACACCCACACAAUACUUCAGGGGUUUUUAUACAUGUUAUUUUAGGGCAUAAGCUGAGUACUAUACCCCCACACCCCAUCAAAAAAGGAACAACAAAAAAAUCCCAAUUUUACCCUCCCCCAAUAAUCUAGAAAACCCUCCCUUCACCCCUGAUGUACAAAGUGUAUGCACAACGGUGGCAUUCUACCAGCCACACAAAGCAUGCUCAAACAGAUGUCACCAGUUCAGUCACUCCAUUGGCAUGGCAACAGGCAGGUUUACGGGAUGUUUCCCAAUAGUGGUUAUUACACAGUCAGCACCACUGUGAAUUUUGUGAAUUUGAAAAAAAAAAGUGUAAUUUAUGGAUUCAGGAUUCAAAAAGAAUCAUUUUGUAUCGAAUUUACCCCAGACAAAGGGAAAACUGGUUGCGACUGAAACUUGGCUAUAGAUAGCUUGAUGUCCCAAUAUUCAAACAAUAAGCCAACUCUCCAUUUUCAAGUAAAUCCAGCUUCAUCCACAGAGAAACAGACAAUUUUCUAACCUCAAGAGCAACCAGCUUGUUACAUUUUCCCUAUCCUAUGGCAGGAAAUGCGUAUUACUUCUGUUCUGUUUAAGCAUCUCAGUCUAAAUGCCAUGAAGACCAGAGCCCAGGUUUCUUCCUUUUCAAAUUCUUAAGGUGAAAGUUUUUUCCUUUCAGUGCAGCUACCAAUGAUGCAGGCAAAGAACUGUUCAAGCCAGCACUCAUUCUUCAAAGCUGCAACAGUGGCCACCAUGAUCUUUUAUAAAGCUUUCCCCGUUGCUCCUGAUAUUUAUUUCUGCUUUUGCCUAACGCUCUCAAAGCAUCUCGUAAACUGAAGUUUAAAGAAAAG
rnacentral:lncRNA from 1 species